CCUACCUUUAACUCUGGGAUAGCCCGAAGAAAUUCGGAUUAAUACCGGAUAAUAUCAAGAUAUGACAUCACAGCUUGAUUAAAGGCGCGAGUUGGUUAAAGAUGGGCAUGCGUCCCAUUAGUUAGUUGGGGAGGUAACGGCUCACCAAGGCGAUGAUGGGUAGGGGCUCUGAGAGGAUUACCCCCCACAUUGGUACUGAGACAGGGACCAAACUCCUACGGGAGGCAGCAGUGAGGAAUAUUGGGCAAUGGACGGAAGUCUGACCCAGCCAUGCCGCGUGCAGGAAGACGGCCUUAUGGGUUGUAAACUGCUUUUAUGUAGGGAAAAAGUUCAUAUUGCGAUAUGAUUUGAUGGUACUACAGGAAUAAGAAUCGGCUAACUCCGUGCCAGCAGCCGCGGUAAUACGGAGGAUUCGAGCGUUAUCCGGAUUUAUUGGGUUUAAAGGGUGCGCAGGCGGACUAUUAAGUCAGUGGUGAAAUUUUCCGGCUCAACCGGGACAGUGCCAUUGAUACUGAUAGACUAGAGUAUAAUUGACGUAUGUGGAAUGUAGCAUGUAGCGGUGAAAUGCAUAGAGAUGCUACAGAACACCGAUAGCGAAGGCAGCAUACGAAGCUAUAACUGACGCUCAUGCACGAAAGCGUGGGGAUCCAACAGGAUUAAAUACCCUGGUAGUCCACGCUGUAAACGAUGAUAACU
rnacentral:rRNA from 1 species